CCUACUUGGGCCCUACAACAGCCACGUAAAGUUUCGGGAUGAUCCGACGUUUCUUUCAUGGGGUUACGGACAAUCCACGCCAAACAAGCGUCACGGGCCGACCGAGCCGGGCCAACGGGCCCUCGGGACCCGAAAACUGAAUUUUUUUUCAUCCAAACCAUUAAAACACGUUACCGAGGUCUCACGCAAAAUUUCAUGCCAAUCCGACGUCGUUUGAUGGGGUUUUGAGAUAUUAUGAUUCCUCAAAAAUUUAAUGUCUGUUCCUGUCACUUAGCUUUUUGUGCAAAAUGUAUAUAUAGGGGAGGGGUGGGUGUUGAGCAGCCCAUGCCCGGGCAAGGCAUGCCAGCGCCCAAGCCAAAGGAGGCUGGUGGCGUGCGUAUAACAGCUCAAAUGCCCCAACGAUGACCGAGAACAAGCGCCCAUCUCCCCUCCUUCCCCCCCACCAAGCGCCCCUCCCCCCCCAUGUUGCCUGCCCACUCGCACAGCUACUCGUGAUUUCAUGCCCAGCGACUAGUGAAUGUGCCUCGACGACCAGCAAACCUCGAAAAUUAUGAUUCCUCGUAAAAUUAAUGUCUGUUCCUGUCACUUUACUUUUUGUGCAAAAUGUAUAUAUAGGGGAGACCAGGGGCUUGAGCAACCCCUGUGCCCAAGCAAGGGUCAGAUGGAAGCACACGAGACGCGAGGUUUAAAGCCUAUACAAGCAAGGCGUCUGUCUCCCCAAGGCCCCAUUGCCUAUAAAACAAGCCCGAUGCCUUGUAAAUGCCCCACACGAUGCCUAUAAACGACAACGAUGUUGCUAGUUAAUCGAUCGACGCCCCACACCUUGCAGCAUGUUGCCUAGUAAACAAGCCAUGCUGCCUUGGAAGCGCCCCACAUCAUGGCAUGUUGCCUAGCACGCUGCCCUUGUUUCCAGCACGGCGACCUGAAAGCGUGGCCUGACGACGUGCUUGCCUUCGAAAAUUAUGAUUCCUCAAAAAAUUAAUGUCUGUUCCUGUCACUUUACUUUUUGU
rnacentral:rRNA from 1 species